ensembl:lncRNA
CCCAGGUCUCCUGCAUCACAGGUGGACCUAUAGGAAUCUGCAUAUAAUGGGUUUCCUAGCACAGUGCCUGGGGUAUGGUAAUGCAGUUUGCUACUUUUAAGAGUUUUGUGGGGGAAACACAGCACAUAUGCAUGACCUGUGACCUGAAAAUGUCAAGGUGGUGUGAGAACCAGUAAAUGGCACAGACAGGUAAAUGUUGCAGGAAUUUGAAGCAGGAGGUGUCCUCAAGGACUGGGAAGAGAAGAGUUGGUGUCCUGGAGUUUAAACUGAGCUUUGAAAGAGAUUUCUGUGGAAAGGAAGCUGAAGGCAAAGUAAAUUUGAUGUGUUCUGCCCAGAGCCCAGAUCUGUCCAUCUCUUCUCCACUGCCUUUGUUUUAGAUGUUAAGGGCCCUGAGCAAAGCCAGGUGGAACGAGAGGCAGUUUCCUCCCUUGUAUUUUAUCCAUCAGGAUUGUUAUUGGUUAUUAUGCUUUCAGUUGCAAGUAAUGGAAAACUCUAUUCAAAUUGGCUUAAACAGGAAAUUAGAAGAAAACAACAGCAAUAGCAGAACCCUAAUGGCAACAGAGUAGAGGAUGCAUAGACUUUACUCUUGACCAGACCUUCGCCACGGUGAUUCCUGGCCAAAGGCUUAGGUGCUCCCAGCUUGACAGCUAACAGAAAGAAAGCGUCUCCCUCCCCCAGAGGCCACCGUCAGGUCUCCCUGGCUAGUCUGUGGUCGUGGGUCUGCCCCCCAGCCAGUCACUGUGGCCCAGGUUCUGUGCGUUUAUUUUGUCGUGCUGCCUGCUCAUCAGAGGAGCCUUCAGAGUGACGUGGCCUUGGGGGCAUCUUACUGGAAGGAGCCGGAGUGGCUCCUGAGAAGACAAAAGCCGCAGUGCCCACUCGAUGCUGGGAGAAGGUCUACACACUCCUUGUGGUCAUUUUGUCCACAAGGUCUGGAGAGGCACAGUAGAGUCACCAUCUUCAAGAUUCCAAGCUUAUCUAGUGGCAGUGAAAGAAGCAGGAAUUCAGCCCUGGCUGCCCACGUCCCUAGGAGUAAAAGGAAGUCGAGGGCCCCGUGUGUGGUCCUGGCUCAUGGCAUGGUGGGGCCCAUCCAAGAUGGGUCUGGAGAGCUGCCUAUUAGCACCCUAGGGCACUGGCCCAUGGUGCUGGUGACUGCCGCACCUCCGGAGGCCGUGAGGGCAGACAAAGGGGAAGCGGAAGAGGGCAGGGAUCAGAGUGCAUUGUGCAGGCUGGCCUUGAGUCCAGGGCUCAGAGUGGGGAGGAAAGACCUCGUGCCUUAGUCCCUUAUCACGCCUGCUAUGCUUCUUCUCCCUGGCAGGGAGCCGGGCUGGUUUCCCUUCUCGUGUGACAACCCAGGUGUCGGGUAUUCAAGAGGUGGCCUACUCUACAGCUGCCUGGAGGAAGGCGGAGAAGAAACAGCUUGUGCCCAGCAUGGAAUCUUCUGGGGAUUGGUGGAAAAUGACCUCCAGGCUCCCUCACCCCUUGGUCUCUGUGAGUGCUUAGAGCCCACCUGGCCUGUUUGCACCUGACGUCUCCAGUUGCAUCCCUCAGGUAGCACUGCAGCCUGGCUAAUCCCAGCCUCCCUUGCAGCUAGGUGAGCGCAUCUGACUACACGCUAUCCUGUGAAGCAGAAGAAGGAGUAGUGUGUGGCAAUUUAGGAAGCGAGCUUAAAUGGGAAGGAAUACCCUUCAUCUUCUAUUUCUUCUGGCUAUUUGGAGAUCAGACGUGAUGCUUGGACUGGAACGGCCAUCUUGGGCCGUGAAGUGACAUGCCAAAGAUGAUGAAGUACGGACAUAGAAGGUGAAACUGCGGAGCCGCACACCAACCCUAAGCUGUCUAUCUCUAGACUACUUUUAGGUAAAAGAGAAAUAAAUAUCUGCCUCCUUUUAAGUCACUGUUUUCCCAGGGGACUGGAAGGGGGAGUUCUGUUGUAUCCAUGAAACAGAUACAGCCAUAACUCUGCCUUUUGGUACCCUGAGAAGUAAAAUUCUGGACAUCUGAGGUCCGAGUAGACGCAUGGCAGCUUCGGGCUGGUGACAUGUUCUCCGGACUGGCUCACGCUGCUCUCCACAGCCUUGCUGUCCUCCUCCUUUUUUGGCCAAAGCAGUGCAAGAGAGGGACAUAGGAUGGUGGGGCAGGGAAGCGAUGACUGCUCCUAGCGAGGCCGGGCUGCCAAAUGUCUUAUUCUGAAAAGGGAAUAGGUUUCACAUGGACAAGAUGGAAGGACUGCUUGUUCCCUCUGGAAAGUUCUAUUAAAAUGACCAACCCAGACACACUUUAAUAUUAAUGGGAAAUUCCUCCCGUUGUUUAUGAAAUCAUUUUAGAGUUGAUUUUAAAAAGAGAGGAGAGAGAGAAGAAAAAAAGCCGUUUGUUAGCUAAAUGAAGCCCAGACAAUUAUUUAUAGAUGCAUCUGAGUGGCUUGUUUUAACACGGAGCAAC